rnacentral:rRNA from 1 species
CCAUAUGCUUGUCUCAAAGAUUAAGCCAUGCAGGUCUGAGUACGGCCUCUAGCAAAAAGGCGAAACCGCGAAUGGCUCAUUAAAUCAGUUAUGGUUCCUUAGAGCUUUACGUUGUCUUUACUUGGAUAACCGUGGUAAUUCUAGAGCUAAUACAUGCACCGAAGCUCCGGCGCCUUUCUUCGGAAGGGAAGACGAGCGCUUUUAUUAGACCGCAAAGACCGUACCGUCAAUCCCUUCUCCUCGGAGCGAGGGACGGACGCGUUUGCGUGGUGACUCUGGAUAACUUAGCCGAUCGGCCGUCAAACUCGCUCGUCGGGUAAGGACGGCCGACGCAACUUUCAAGUGUCUGCCUUAUCAACUUUCGACGGUAGGUCAAAUGCCUACCGUGGUGAUAACGGGUGACGGGGAAUCAGGGUUCGAUUCCGGAGAGGAAGCCUGAGAAACGGCUACCACAUCCAAGGAAGGCAGCAGGCUCGCAAAUUACCCACUCCCGGCACGGGGAGGUAGUGACGAAAAAUAACGAUGCGGGACUCGGUCGAGACCCCGCCAUCGGAAUGAGUUACGCUCUAAAUCCUUUGACGAGGAUCCACCGGAGGGCAAGUCCGGUGCCAGCAGCUGCGGUAAUUCCGGCUCCGGUAGCAUAUGCUAAAGUUGCUGCGGUUAAAAAGCUCGUAGUUGGAUCUCAGUCUCGGCCGCCCGGUCUCGCCCGUGUUGGCGGGUCUCGCGGCGGUCGGUCAGAAAUGUCGGCCUUCCUCGGAUGAUCUUGACCGGUCGUCCGUCUGGAGGGGCCGGCGAGUUUACUUUGAAAAAAUCAGAGUGCUCAGAGCGGGUUUUUUAUAAGCCCGGACGCCCGUGCAUGGAAUAAUGGAAAAAGACCUCGGUUCUAGUCUGUUGGUCCUACGAACCCUAGAGGUAAUGAUUAAGAGGAACGGCCGGGGGCGAUCGUACCGCGACGCUAGAGGUGAAAUUCUUGGACCGUCGCGUGACGCACUACAGCGAAAGCAUUCGUCAAGAACGCUUCCGUUAAUCAAGAACGAAAGUCAGAGGUUCGAAGGCGAUCAGAUACCGCCCUAGUUCUGACCGUAAACGAUGCCGACCAGCGAUGGGGCUGCGCUCGCCACGACGAGGCGCCCCGAAGCUUUCCGGGAAACCAGAGUCUCUGGGUUCCGGGGGAAGUAUGGUUGCAAAGUCGAAACUUAAAGGAAUUGACGGAAGGGCACCACCAGGCAUGGAGCCUGCGGCUUAAUUUGACUCAACACGGGAAAACUCACCCGGCCCGGACACGGGAAGGAUUGACAGACUGAUUGCUCUUUCUCGAUUCUGUGGAUGGUGGUGCAUGGCCGUUCUUAGUUGGUGGAGUGAUUUGUCUGGUUGAUUCCGAUAACGAACGAGACUCUAGCCUAUUAAAUAGCGAGCGUUGAAUUACGGGGAGUUCCGACUUUCGUUCGGCCCGAAACGCUCUGGAAUCUCUUCUUAGAGGGACAAGCGACGCACUAAAGUCGCGCGAGGAAGAGCGAUAACAGGUCUGUGAUGCCCUUAGAUGUCCGGGGCCGCACGCGCGCUACACUGACGCCCACAGCGUGCGCGCUCUCCCUGUCCGACGGGACCGGGGAACCCCAUCAACGGACGUCGUGAUGGGGACAGGGGAUUGGAAUUGUUCCCCUCGAACGAGGAAUGCCCAGUAAGCGCGAGUCACUAGCUCGCGCUGAUUACGUCCCUGCCCUUUGUACACACCGCCCGUCGCUACUACUAAUCGAACGGUUCGGUGAGGUCCUCGGACUGGCAAUCGUCUCGCGUCGGAUUCGACUCCGGCGAGGGCGGUAGCCGGAAAGUGGAUCGAACCGAUUCGUUUAAAAGAAGUAAAAGUCGUAACAAGGUAACC